rnacentral:rRNA from 1 species
AUGGCGCCGCCCCCCACCUCCGGCCCGCAGCAGCGGCGGCUCCUCCAGGCGGCGGCCGACGGCGACCUCCGCCUCUUCAAGAGCAUCGCGAGCGCGCUGGACGGCGGGAAGGGCCGCGUCAAGGAGGCGGUGGAGGCCGUCAGGAAUUGCGGCGCCGGGGCGCUGCACACCGCCGCCGGCCGCGGGAGGACCCCGAUGUGCGCGUACUUGGUCGAGGAGCUUGGCGUGGACGUCAAUGCUGCAGACGACAAAGGUGCUACACCUCUGACUUAUGCACUUCGUUGGCGGGCUGUGGAUACUGUGAGGUAUCUCUUUGAUCAUGGUGCCGAUGCAGAAAAGGCAGAAAAGCCUGGUGAACAAGGUUUUACCCCUCUUCAUGUNNNNNNNNNNNCAGGAUUGUGUGAAAUGAUAGAAGUCUUGCUCUCAAAAGGAGCUGAUGUUAAUUGGUUUUCUUACCGUGGGACACUACUGCAUUCUGCUAUUAUCGGAAAGCAGGUUGCUGCCGUGAAGCUCUUGUUGGAUCAUCAUGCGGAUUGUAACAAGCCAGUGUCCCUACAUUAUACACCUCUGAUCGCUGCUCUCCAUGCCCGCUCGCUGAAAUGUGUGAAGCUUCUGAUUGAGGCGGGUGCUGAUGCGAAGGGUGUUCCUCCGCUAACCCCCUUAAUAGUUGCUGCAAAUGAUGGUUUAACUGAUUUCUACGAACCUUUACUUCGGGCCGGUGCUGAUCCUGAUGUUCGUGAUGAUGGAGGUCAGCUGCCAAUAGAGAUUGCUGCACGUAACAAUAGACGGAAAGAUGUUGAGACCCUUUUUCCAGUAACAUCUCAUAUUCCCUAUGUGCGUGAUUGGAGUGUUGAUGGGAUACUUGCUUAUGUCAAAUCAGUGCCGAAGGAGGAGGAUGACCCGUUAUACAAAAUGGGGCCAGCUUAUCUGAAACUGGAAGGAACCAAGGCUUACAAGAGAAAAGAUUAUGUUUCUGCAAUAAAUUUCUACUCCAUGGCAAUCAAGCUUAACCCUGGAGAUGUAACCUUGCAUUCAAAUAAGAGCCUUUGCUGGAUUAACCUGGGGGAAGGAGACAAGGCCUUGGAGGACGCCGAGUUUUGCAGGAUGAUACGGCCUGAUUGGCCAAAGGCCUGUUACAGGCAAGGGGCUGCCCAAAUGUUAUUGAAGAACUAUGAAAAGGCAUGUGAAGCAUUCCAAGAUGGUCUGAAGUUGGACCCAACAAAUGUUGAGAUUGAGAAUGCAUUACGGGAGGCAGUCAAGUCCUUGAAGAUAUCUCAUGCCAAAAUGGUUUCAUGA